GGGUCUAUAACUCAACGGUAGAGUAGCGCCCUUUUAAGGCGUUAGUUGUGGGUUCGAAUCCCACUGGACCCACCA
rnacentral:tRNA from 2 species